ACACCUUUCAAGGGUGAUCUCAGCCCUGGUCUACACUACAGGGUUAGGUCGAAUUUAGCUGCGUUAGGUUGAUUUUAAAAUGAAUGAGUCUACACAACCAAUCCUGUUCCAUUGACCUAAAGGCUCUUAAAAUUGACUUCUGUAUUCCUCCCCGGUGAGGGGAGUAUCGCUAAAAUUGACCUUGCUGGGUUGAAUUUGGGAUACUGCAGAUGCAAUU